CUUAUUCUCUUAUCUUUCUAACCGAAAAACUAAUUAAUCUUAUAUUUUAAUAAAACUCAUGCCAAGUUAAAAUAUAUAUUUUUUGAAUGUUAUUAUUUUUCUUCAAUUUUUAUGUGCAGAGUUAAAGUACUAAGUUAUCAAGGUGUUUAAAAUCAGAGCAAGUCGACUUAAAUAUACAUAAUCACAUUAUUUAAUCUUAAACUUAAACUUAACAAUAGAAUAUUUGAACAAGUUUACACGAAGAAUUGGUAACAAAGGUUUUGCUCAACAAUUUGUAAGUUUGAUUUCAAUAUGUUUAACAUGAUUUAGAGAACAACACCUGGACAAUAUAUUUUAACGCCCAGCUUUUGAAACAACAAAAAAUUUACAAUCACUUUAUUAAAAUGAAUCUAAAUCAUUUGCUGUUACAAAUUAUGUCAUCCUAUUUAUUCAGCAUAUAAAUAUUUUUAAACAUUUUAGAUUGGUUGCAGCCUUACAAAGUUGUGAAAAACAAUAUUGAAUAAUUCUAAUUUUUUAAAAUUUUAUUUCCGUUACAAAAUUUAGUGAAUAAAAAUGUUUUAUAUUUAUGAGUUUGCCAUGAUUGCUCUGAUUGAAUCAUGGUAAAAUACUUAUUCAGUUCUAACUGUUUAUUAAAUAAGCUUGGGUCUUUAAGGCUUGACCUUGGUGAAUACAGUAAAAAAUAUUUAAAUAAGAUCUUAUGUGUAAAACACUUCAAUGUGCCUUUUUUAUAUUUUUUUCUUUUUUAGGCCAAGUUUUUUAGGCGGAAAGUUACCAAAAUAUGUUAAGGACUUAAUUCAGAGAUAAUGUUGCUAAACGAUUUGCAGUCGAUAAUCUUUCGAAAGCAGAAAAACUCAAGUUAGCAUCAAAUAGAAAGAUAUCGCAAUUUCUGUGUCAAACAAAGAAUACGCGAAUUAUUUGAGAUAUGAUUGAAAUUUGCAAAGAAAGUAAAAAUCAAACUAGUUUCAUUCUAAGUUAUUGUAUAUAAUUUUAAAAUUUUGGAAUAGAAGUGA